rnacentral:piRNA from 1 species
GAAAACUUCGUGGAUGUUCUCAACCUGCCA